GAUGAACGCUGGCGGCGUGCUUAACACAUGCAAGUCGAACGGAAAGGCCCAAGCUUGCUUGGGUACUCGAGUGGCGAACGGGUGAGUAACACGUGGGUGAUCUGCCCUGCACUUCGGGAUAAGCCUGGGAAACUGGGUCUAAUACCGGAUAGGACGAUGGUUUGGAUGCCAUUGUGGAAAGUUUUUUCGGUGUGGGAUGAGCUCGCGGCCUAUCAGCUUGUUGGUGGGGUAAUGGCCUACCAAGGCGUCGACGGGUAGCCGGCCUGAGAGGGUGUACGGCCACAGUGGGACUGAGGUACGGCGCAAACUCCUACGGGAGGCAGCAGAGGGGAAUAUUGCACAAUGGGCGCAAGCCUGAAGCAGCGACGCCGCGUGGGGGAUGACGGCCUCCGGGUUGUAAAAUCCUUUCGCUAGGGACGAAGCGUUUUUGUGACGGUACCUGGAGAAGAAGCACCGGCUAACUACGUG
rnacentral:rRNA from 1 species